rnacentral:ncRNA from 1 species
GAUGCAAGCUUCUUGAUCAAAGUAUCACGAGUUUGUUAUAUAAUCGCAAACAAAUUCUUUAAUGAGAGAGUGCUUUUAUGUAUUUUUAAUUUGAAAUAUUUGGUAUAACUCCAAUUACUCAGGUAUGAUCCAAUUCAAGGACAUUGCCAGAUAGGGAGUUUGACUGGGGCGGUAUCUCUCAAAUAAUAACGGAGGUUUCCCAAGGCCAGCUCAGUGCGGACAGAAACCACACAUAGAGCAAAAGGGCAAAUGCUGACUUGAUCUCGGUGUUCAGUACACACAGGGACAGCAAAAGCUCGGCCUAUCGAUCCUUUUGGUUUAAAGAGUUUUUAACAAGAGGUGUCAGAAAAGUUACAAUAGGCAUAACUGGCUUGUGGCGGCCAAGCGUUCAUAGCGACGUCGCUUUUUGAUCCUUCGAUGUCGGCUCUUCCUAUCAUUGUGAAGCAAAAUUCACCAAGCGUUGGAUUGUUCACCCAUGCAAGGGAACGUGAGCUGGGUUUAGACCGUCGUGAGACAGGUUAGUUUUACCCUUCUAAUGACAAAACGUUGUUGCGACAGCAUUCCUGCGUAGUACGAGAGGAACCGCAGGUACGGACCAAUGGCACAAUAUUUGUUCCAGCGAACAGUGGUAUGACGCUACGUCCGUUGGAUUAUGCCUGAACGCCUCUAAGGUCGUAUCCGUGCUGAACUGCAAUGAUAAAUAAGGGGCAAAUUGCAUUGUAUGGCUUCUAAACCAUUAAAAGUUUAUUUUAUAAACGACAAUGGAUCUGAUGCCAAUGUUAUUUGUAACAUAGUAAAUUGGGAGGAUCUUCGAUCACCUGAUGCCGCGCUAGUUACUUAUUAAAACAUAAUACAAUGACAAAGCCUAGAAUCAAUUGUAAACGACUUUUGUAACAGGCAAGGUGUUGUAAGUGGUUGAGCAGCUGCCAUACUGCGAUCCACUGAAGCUUAUCCUUUGCUUGAUGAUUCGA